CAAAAAGUAGUUUAAAGAAAACAAAAGCUUUGGAAGCUUUAAUUUUAGUUUGUUAACUUUUUGA
rnacentral:tRNA from 1 species